GAGUUCUUACUAGCCAUGGCGAGUACCAAACAUUUCCCAAAUUAAAGUUGUUCUGGGUCCAAUCUUGCCCUACAUUCAUUCCUAAUCGCUACUAGGUAUGUUCAGGCACUCAAAGGCACUCAAGGUCCAACUAAAAAGGUCCAAACACAAAAUCUAACAUGCACUCUGCCUUAGCUCGCUAUGGCGAGUAAGGUUGCUCGCUAUGGCGAGCGAUACCAAAGGAACUCGCGAGGCGAGAAAAAGGGGUUCGCGAGGCGAAGUUCAUAGCUCGCCGUGGCGAGCGAUGAAUGUCGCUACGGCCAGGCUUCCUAAUUUCACAAAAAUCCGACGAUUCACAUGGUUCUAGGCCUAGUAUUGAUUCCAAAGUUUGUCCUAAACAUAUUCUAAGGUCCAGGAACACUUUUCACAACAGUUUAAUCAAUUCCUACCGUUUAAUCAUCAAUUUUAAGGUUUUGACCUAAUUCCAAAACUUUUCUAAAACAAUCCUAACUUUGUCAAUUAAUCAUCAGAAUUACAACAACUAACAUUAUUGAAUUAUUAGUCUCACCCUUACCUUAAUUUGCAGAAAUCGCAGCUCUCCCUCUUGGUUUAUAUUCUCUUGGCUUUUUCUCCCUUUUCUCCAAAAACAGUCGUACGUACGUUAUGUUUUUUCUAAACUAGGUCUCUCCUAUUUAUAUCUCCUCUUAAUUACUUAUCUUAUCUCACUUUCUCCCCCAAAACUAUCUAAAAUAUCAAAACAGCCCUCAACUAAAUAUUUUAUAUUAUUUUCAAAUCUUUAUUUUAUUUAACAAUAAAAUAAAUCCCUUAAUCUUAUCAAAUCUUCCAAAACUCAUAACUUAUCACAAUAUCGACUAAACCAUCAAUAUAACGUAAAUCAUUCAAAUCAUACCAUAAUUAUGCAUAUAUUAUAUAGAUAUAAUAUAAUCGCCUAAACUCAAUUUAAAUAAACAAUUAACGAAAGCGGGCGUUACAACUCUUCUCCACUUAAAAGAUUUUCGUCCUCGAAAAUUUACCUCAAGCAAACAACUCUGGAUAAGACACUAGCAUCUUACUCUCAAGCUCCCACGUCAAGCUUUCACCAGUCGCUCCCGUCCAAACGACUCUCACGAGAGGUAUCUCCUUGCCUCUCAACGUCUUCACUUUACGAUCAUCAAUCCUCACCGGUAAAGUUUCUACCGUAAGGUUGUCUCUAACUUGCACAUCGUCACUCUGGAUUACAUGAGAUGGAUCCGGAACAUACUUCUGAAGUUGCGACACAUGGAAAACAUUGUGCAAAUUCGAAAGAUGCGGCGGUAAACCCACUCGGUAAGCCACCGUUCCGACUCUUUCCAAUAUCUGAUACGGACCAAUGAACUUCGGGGUCAGCUUCUUUGACUUCAAAGCACGUCCUACACCAGUCAUAGGAGUGACUCUCAAAAAUACGUGGUCUCCUUCCUGAAACUCAAGAUCUUUUCUACGCUUAUCAUGAUAAGUCUUUUGUCGACUCUGCGACGCUUUAAUUUUCUCUUGAAUCAUCUGAACUUUCUCAGUAGUUUGCUGAACGAUCGCUGGUCCUAAGACCACUCUUUCACCUGACUCAAACCAGCAUAACGGAAUUCUGCAUCUCCGACCAUAUAAAGCCUCAAAAGGUGCCAUUCCAAUACUAGAAUGAUAACUAUUAUUGUAUGUGAACUCGAUCAACGGAAGAUGACUAUCCCAAGUUCCUCCUUGCUCAAGAACACAAAUCCUCAACAAAUCCUCUAGCGACUGAAUUGUCCUCUCCGACUGACCAUCUGUCUGUGGAUGAUAGGCCGAACUUAAUCUCAACUUCGAACCCAAAGCCUCUUGCAAACUCUUCCAAAAUCUAGAAGUAAAUCUUGGAUCUCUAUCUGAUACAAUGCUCGAAGGAACACCAUGCAACUUCACAAUCUCCUUGAUAUAAAUCUCUGCCAACUGGGCAACAGGGAAACUAAUAUUAAUCGGUAGAAAAUGAGCCGACUUCGUCAAUCUAUCAACAAUAACCCAAAUUGCGUCGUUCCCUCUAGGAGUAUUCGGCAAACUCGUCACGAAAUCCAUCGAUAUACUAUCCCAUUUCCAUUCUGGUACAUCUAAAGGUACCAUCAUUCCAGCAGGUUUCUGAUGCUCGACUUUCGACUUCUGACAAACUAAACAGGAAUACACAAACUGUGCCACAUCUCGUUUCAAACCAGACCACCAGAAAAUCUUCUUUAAAUCAUGAUACAUCUUCGUAGCUCCCGGGUGAAUACUCAAGCUACUUCUAUGACUCUCUUCAAGAAUCAUCUUCUUAAUCUCUUCAUUGUCUGGAAUACAAAUUCUUCCUCGGAAUCUCAACACACCUUGAUCAUCGAAUUUAAAAUCACUGUCUUCAGUCUGAUCUCUAGCAACCAACAAGUCCACAAAUUUUACAUCGACUUUCUGUGCUUCCUUGAUACUUCUCAGAAAUUCACUAUCAAUCUUCAGCAUACCCAGUUUUACGCUCUGAGGUGACCAUUCGCAAACCAAACUCAUAUCUCUGAACUGUUCAAGUAACUCGAACUCUCUGACCAUCAUAGCGGACAUAUGCAAUGUCUUCCUACUCAAGGCAUCUGCAACAACAUUAGCUUUACCUGGAUGAUAAUUCAAACCAAAGUCAUAAUCUUUCAACAACUCUAGCCAUCUACGCUGCCUCAUGUUCAAUUCCUUCUGAUCGAACAAAUACUUCAAACUCUUGUGAUCACUAAAUACCUCAAACCUCGAACCAUACAAGUAAUGUCUCCAUAUCUUCAAUACAAAGACUACAGCCGCUAACUCGAGGUCAUGCGUAGGAUAAUUCUUCUCAUGAACUCUCAACUGUCUUGAAGCAUAAGCUACCACUUUACCUUCUUGCAUAAGCACACCUCCUAAACCCAACUUGGGCGCAUCGCAAUACACCACAAAAGGUUCAUCUGACUUCGGCAAAAUCAACACUGGAGCAGUCGUCAGACGUUUCUUCAAUUCACUGAAACUGUUCUCACAAUGGACGUCCCACACAAAAGUUUUACCCUUACAAGUCAACUGCGUUAGCGGAAGAGCUAACUUGGAAAACCCUUCAAUAAAUCUUCUGUAGUAACCAGCUAAACCCAAGAAGCUUCUAAUCUCUGUAACUGACUUAGGAGUCUCCCAUUGCGAUACCGCUUCAACUUUAGACGGAUCCACGGCAAUACCAUCCCCGGAAAUAACAUGGCCAAGAAAACUCACCUCUUUCAACCAGAAUUCACACUUAGAUAAUUUGACAUAAAGUUUCUUCUCUUUCAACACUUGCAAGACAAUCUUCAGAUGCUCAGCAUGUUCUUCUUCAGUCUUGGAGUAGAUCAAAAUAUCAUCGAUGAACAAAACUACGAACCGAUCCAAAAAUGCAUGGAAGAUGCGAUUCAUAUACUCCAUAAACACUCCAGGUGUAUUGGUAACACCAAAAGGCAUAACUUUAUAUUCACAGUGACCAUAACGCGUUCUGAAAGCUGUCUUCUGCAUAUCUUCAACCUUUACUUUAAUCUGAUGAUAACCUGGCCCCAAAUCAAUCUUGCUGAAAACACGUGCACCCACUAACUGAUCCAUCAAAUCAUCAAUUCUCGGAAGUGGAUACCUAUUCUUGAUAGUUACCUUGUUCAACUGUCGGUAAUCAAUACAUAGCCUCAUACUACCAUCUUUCUUCUUUACUAGCAAAACCGGCGCUCCCCAAGGUGAAACACUUGGUCUAACAAAUUUCUUCUCAAGCAAGUCUUCCAACUGUUUCUUCAAUUCAGAUAAUUCGGAAGCAGACAUACGAUAUGGUGCCAUUGACACCGGCUUCGUUCCAGGAACAAGAUCAAUAGAAAACUCGACUUCUCUCUCUGGAGGCACAUCAGGAAUCUCAUCCGGAAAAACUUCAGGAAAUUCACACACCACCGGUAGCCUAUCAAUCACUGCUUGAUUCUCAAUAGAUAAGGAAGCCAUCAAUGAAAACAUCAAGAUACCAUCGCGUUCCAGUUGCUUCAGCUGCUUAGUGGAUAAAAACUUUGCACCACUUUCCUCCUCGACGGAAGAGAAAUGCACUGACUUGCUAAAACAAUUAAUAAGAACGUGGUUGUACUCUAACCAGUUCAUACCCAGAAUCACAUCCAUACCACUCAAGGGUAGACAAACUAAAUCCAUUUCAAAAUCACGACCAAACAUAGACAAAGGACAUUUCAAACAUACGAGAGAAGUAGUCACCGAACCCUUAGCUGGAGUUUCGACAAUCAUCUCUCCAUUCAUAUCAGACAAAUCAAGACCCGAAGCAGAAACACAAUCGAAAGCAAUAAAGCAAUGCGUAGUACCAAUAUCAAUAAUAGCAACUAAAGGAGUAUUAUUAAUAUAGCAAGUACCUCUGAUCAAACGAUCCUCGUUCUCCGUCUGAGUACCAGUCAAGGCAAAGACCCUACCAGUAGUCGGCGCCCUCUUAGGCUGAGUACACUGUGAACUAAUGUGACCCUCUCCAUUGCAGUUAAAACACACAAUAUCCGUACGAUUGCAAUCAGCUACAAUAUGACCUUUCUUGCCACACCGAACACACUUCUUGAUUUCCUCAGGGCAGACAUUGCUUUUGUGGCCUUUCCCACCACAAUUGAAACACACAAUCUCAGUAGCAUCCUUCUUCUUAGGCUGCCUAUCAUCGACCAUUCUCUGUUUCCCUUUAUCAGCAGGGGCACUGUACGGCUUAGGACGACUCUGCUGUCCCUUGCCCUUCCUCUCGUUCACUAUCUUGUAGUGAGCCUUGGUAUCCUCUUCAUAGAUCCUGCAGCUAUUAACCAAAUCCGGGAAAAACUCUCCAGUUGUUGGUAUCCAAUUGCCCUCUUUGAUGUCGGGCCUCAAACCAUUCUCGAACUUGAUACAUCUCGAGAACUCAGCAUUCUCAGCAGUAUAGUGCGGGUAGAACUUCGCCAACUCAACAAACUUGGCAUCAUACUCUGUCACAGACAUGUUUCCUUGCUUCAGCUCAAGGAAUUCGAUCUCCUUCUUCCCGCGAACAUCUCCCAAAAAGUAUCUUCUCACGAACUCUCUCCUUAACUCAUGGCCAGGUCACAACGGUUCUUUCUUUGUCUCAUGGGUAUGCAGAAGAGCAACCCACCUAUCUCAUCAGUUUCCUCGGCUAGCUUAUGAGUACCGAACCGCACUUUCUGAUCCUCAGUGCAUUGCAUAACCCGGAAAAUCCUCUCAAUCUCUUUAAGCCACGUCUGGGCUCCAUCACGGUCAUAACGUCCUUAGAGAGUUGGACGGUUCUUCUUCAUGAUAGUCUCCAACAUCCUAGCAUCAGCAUUCGCACCAGCAUUUGCGUUAGGUUGUUGUCCCACAGCUUGGACAACAGCUUGUAGAGCAGCAGCUAACGCAUCAUCGUUUCUUCCAGCCAUUCUGAUAUUCUACAAAAGUAGCAACAACAACAUAAGAUAGUAAUAUAAAUAUUACUAAGACUCGACACGACUCUUCUAACUGACCGGACGGACCGACCUGCUCUGAUACCAAUUGUAACACCCCGUUUUCCCAAUAUACAAAUUUCUUAAAUCAUUUAUCAGAGUAAGCAUCAUAACAACGGGAUAUCACAUAUAACAUAAUCCAAAACAGUUAAAUAAUAAUUUAACCAAAUAUCUUAAUCAUUGCAGCGGAAUUCAUAUCAUAGUCAUAAACCGCUUUGGCACGCAGGCCCCAUCAAAACAGUUCAGAUCAUAAUCCAUAUCAUUAUAAAAAUAACAUAUUAGUCACGUAAGAGAAUGAAGCAUGCAUAACAUUAAACCCCAUCCCGUUACGUAUCAGAGCAACCUUGACGACACAGUGAAGGCAAGGCCACUCACGACGGAAACUGCACACUAAGCACGAUCACCUGCAAGUUACCCAUACGAAGGGCAACAUUUUCAAGCAGAAGGGGUGAGAUUUCAUAACAAAAUAAUGUUAAUCAAGUAAUUCGAAUCAUAAAUUAACAUUAACAUCAUAAUCAUUCUUGAAUAACUUUGCAUAUUCAAAUAACAAGUAUCACGUAUUCACAUAUUCAAUCGUCAUCAACAACAUAGCAUUUUGGACAUGACAAUGUGACAAUGCUCUUAGACUCCUUAUAUGCAUGUGGUACCAAUCAUCAUCAUAAGUAUUAAUAUACUUUAAUCAUGCGGAGGACAAAGCUCCUAUAAAACGUGCGGAGGACAAAGCUCCUAAUAAUCGUGGUGAGGACUAAACUUAAUGAAAUGCUAUGCAUGGACUCUUAUGAACAAAACAUCGUAAUCAUCAUAUCAACAUGCAUCUAAUAAUUUGGAGCUAAACUUCAUCAUUUCAUCAUACUCAUAUACAAUAUGCACUUAGUUAAAUAACGGCAGCAGCAUAAAUAAGUCACAUAACAGGAUGAUGUCAUUAUAUCAUUAGCACAACAAUUGCAUCAUAAUUAAACUUUCAUAUCUUGCAUAAUUGUACAAUACAUUAGUUCAUGUUCAAUUAAUAUCAACAUAUCUUAAACAGCUUUACAGACUGCAUUAAACGUCAUCAUUAGGUCUCAUUACCAUAAUGGGGUUCACUCUUGAUCCAAACGUGCGACACAGAUCGCACAAACACUCAAGACACUCAAAGCUGGAAGUGCUCGCGAGGCGAGAGUUCUUACUAGCCAUGGCGAGUACCAAACAUUUCCCAAAUUAAAGUUGUUCUGGGUCCAAUCUUGCCCUACAUUCAUUCCUAAUCACUACUAGGUAUGUUCAGGCACUCAAAGGCACUCAAGGUCCAACUAAAAAGGUCGAAACACAAAAUCUAACAUGCACUCUGCCUUAGCUCGCUAUGGCGAGUAAGGUUGCUCGCUAUGGCGAGCGAUACCAAAGGAACUCGCGAGGCGAGGAAAAGGGGUUCGCGAGGCGAGCGAUGAACGUUCAUCACUCGCGAGGCGAAGUUCAUAGCUCGCCGUGGCGAGCGAUGAAUGUCG
rnacentral:lncRNA from 1 species